AGCUAAUUAAUUUAAAUAAAAUAUUAGUCUUGUAAACUAAAAUUAACUAACAUUAUUAGCUU
rnacentral:tRNA from 1 species